rnacentral:rRNA from 1 species
CCCUUAGAUGUCCGGGGCUGCACGCGCGCUACACUGAAGGAAUCAGCGUGCUAAAACCAUUGUCGAAAGGCAUUGGUAAACCCAUUAAAAUCCUACGUGAUUGGGAUCGGGAAUUGCAAUUAUUUCCCUUGAACGAGGAAUUCCCAGUAAGUGUGGGCCAUAAGCUCGCGUUGAUUACGUCCCUGCCCUUUGUACACACCGCCCGUCGCUGCCCGGGACUGAGCCGUUUCGAGAAAAGCGGGGACUGCUGCUGUCGGGGCUUUCGGGCCUUGGCUUCGGUGGAAACCGCUUUAAUCGCAGUGGCUUGAACCGGGCAAAANUCGUAACA